rnacentral:misc_RNA from 1 species
UUCUUGGUGUAGUUCUAGGUGAGGU